UACGAAGGGGGGCUAGCGUUGCUCGGAAUCACUGGGCGUAAAGGGUGCGUAGGCGGGUCUUUUAAGUCAGGGGUGAAAUCCUGGAGCUCAACUCCAGAACUGCCUUUGAUACUGAAGAUCUUGAGUUCGGGAGAGGUGAGUGGAACUGCGAGUGUAGAGGUGAAAUUCGUAGAUAUUCGCAAGAACACCAGUGGCGAAGGCGGCUCACUGGCCCGAUACUGACGCUGAGGCA
rnacentral:rRNA from 1 species